AUAAGCUAGUCCAUAUGCAGGAACGUAGGAGAAUGUCAAUUGAUUUAAUGGUCUGGUUGACUAUGUUCUCUAUAAUCUUUGUACAAACACUAAAUGCACGAGUUACCCAUCCCAUGAAUUAUAAAGCCAGUGUCAACAAAAAAGCAGAACAAGCUAUGCAGCAAAGGGAUAAAUUAGGCGCAUAUAGUAAACAAAUCACUUUGCUUCAGUCUGACAUAAAUUCUAUGCAAAAAAGUAUUAAUUUUCUGCUUUAUCUACUGAAUGACAAUAAGACUGAUCAUAGACCGCGCCCACCCAGCUACGACUUUAGUUAACAAGGAAUUAAUGUUUGAUAAAAUUCAUAAACUCCAGAAUCUAUUCCAAAAUACGAGCUAAGACAAAAAGUGCUAUGUAUUUGGAAACAAAUUAAAAUAUAACUUUUCUUAUUUUGAAAUUUAUCAAAAUAUAAUCAAGUUGAAAAUUGA